UACGGAGGAGGCAAGCGUUAUCCGGAAUUAUUGGGCGUAAAGCGUCCGCAGGUGGCGAUUCAAGUCUGCGGUCAAAGACUGGGGCUUAACCCUGGAAAGGCCGUGGAAACUGAAGAGCUAGAGUGCAGUAGGGGUAGAGGGAAUUCCCGGUGUAGCGGUGAAAUGCGUAGAGCUCGGGAAGAACAUCGGUGGCGAAAGCGCUCUACUGGACUGCAACUGACACUCAGGGACGAAAGCUAGGGGAGCGAAUGGG
rnacentral:rRNA from 1 species